GUGCACGCUGGCGGUAGGCCUAACACAUGCAAGUCGCACGGCAGCACAGUAAGAGCUUGCUCUUACGGGUGGCGAGUGGCGGACGGGUGAGGAAUACAUCGGAAUCUACUUUUUCGUGGGGGCUAACGUAGGGAAACUUACGCUAAUACCGCAUACGACCUACGGGUGAAAGCAGGGGAUCUUCGGACCUUGCGCGAUUGAAUGAGCCGAUGUCGGAUUAGCUUGUUGGCGGGGUAAAGGCCCACCAAGGCGACGAUCCGUUGCUGGUCGCAGAGGAUGAUCAGCCACACUGGAACUGAGACACGGUCCAGACUCCUACGGGAGGCAGCAGUGGGGAAUAUUGGACAAUGGGCGCAAGCCUGAUCCAGUCAUACCGCGUGGGUGAAGAAGGCCUUCGGGUUGUAAAGCCCUUUUGUUGGGAAAGAAAAGCAGCAGGUUAAUACCCAGCUGUUCUGACGGUAACCAAAGAAUAAGCACCGGCUAACUUCGUG
rnacentral:rRNA from 1 species